UACGUAGGGGGCAAGCGUUGUCCGGAGUUACUGGGCGUAAAGCGCACGCAGGCGGUCUCUUAAGUUUGGAGUGACAGUUGGUGGCUUAACUGCCAAAGUGCUUCGAAAACUGAGAGACUUGAGGGCUUCAGAGGGACACGGAAUUCCGGGUGGAGUGGUGAAAUGCGUAGAGAUCCGGAGGAACACCAAAGGCGAAGGCAGUGUCCUGGGGAGUACCUGACGCUCAGGUGCGAAAGCUAGGGGAGCGAACAGG
rnacentral:rRNA from 1 species